rnacentral:rRNA from 1 species
UGGGGAAUAUUGGGCAAUGGGCGAAAGCCUGACCCAGCGACGCCGUGUGGGCGAUGAAGGCCUUCGGGUUGUAAAGCCCUGUGAGGUGGAAAGAAGGGCCUAGAGGUUAAUACCCUUUAGGCUUUGACGGUACCACCAGAGGAAGCACCGGCUAACUCCGUGCCAGCAGCCGCGGUAAUACGGAGGGUGCAAGCGUUGUUCGGAAUUACUGGGCGUAAAGGGCGCGUAGGUGGUUGUGUAAGUCAGAUGUGAAAUCCUUAGGCUUAACCUGAGAACUGCAUCUGAUACUGCAAGACUCGAGUACAGCAGAGGGGAACGGAAUUCCUGGUGUAGAGGUGAAAUUCGUAGAGAUCAGGAGGAACACCGGUGGCGAAGGCGGUUUCCUGUGCUGAUACUGACACUGAGGCGCGAAAGCGUGGGGAGCAAACA